GGAUGGACUCGCGGCCUAUCAGCUUYGUUGGUGGGGUAAUGGCCUACCAAGGCGACSACGGGUAGCCGGCCUGAGAGGGUGACCGGCCACMCUGGGACUGAKACACGGCCCAGACUCCUACGGGAGGCAGCAGUGGGGAAUAUUGCMCAAUGGGCGCAAGCCUGAUGCARCGACGCCGCGUGAGGGAUGAAGGCCUUUCGGGUUGUAAACCUCUUUC
rnacentral:rRNA from 1 species